rnacentral:lncRNA from 1 species
UCAAUUGGUUGAAAACCCAAAAAAGUUAGUAAUUAGAUAAAUGUAAUAACAGUAAAAGUUUGCAGUCUACAGUAUUAAAUGAAGGUGUAAAAUUACGUUAAUCUCCUCCCAGAUCUCCAAAAUGCAGUCUCCAGCAACCGCCACUCUCCCUCCGACGAUGCUUCUGAAAAAGGAGAAAGGUUUAAGUUUUAAGUAGGCACGUGAGAGAAAGAGAAAGGAGAAUCUGGUUUGGGAUUGCAACGUAUAGGCUCAGAAUCUGUGCGGAGGUGGUGGUCAGAGGGACGAGUCGGCCAGGAUCGGAGGAUCAGAUUCGCGGCGCAGACUCGGUGGAAGAUUCUGAAGACGUGGUUAGAAGAUAAUAAUGUGUUGUGAAUCUUAACCGACGAUUUACAUUUGUAGAACAGUGGAGUAACUU